CAGGAACAGAGAAGGAGCAAUUAAAAACCAAGUUAUCUUGAACUUUCUGACUUACCAUAAUACACUGGAGUAGUGAUGGACUGUGUAAUUUUUUCCUGCUGUGAGUUGCUUCAGGUGAAAGCAGUUGAAAGACAGAAAGAGUAGUUUUUCUUCCCAAAGCUAUAAAAACAAGUGAAUGUUACAGGUAUAGCUUCAGCUUGGGAGAUCCUGGAAUCCCUGUGUCUUCUGGACACUGUCAUGCUCUUCUGUAUGCUGGCAGCAAAUUGUGCUCCAAGUGCAACCUGUCUACUUUGUUUGCCUGUCACUGCAGCUGUAGCUGUCUGCCAAGCUAACUGCUUCCAGGAGUGCUAA
rnacentral:lncRNA from 1 species